UUUUGAGAGUGGUGAGGCGCUUAUUGUGCACCCUGUCAGAUCCGGAAGGAAGCAGCAGACGCAGUGUUGACUUGUGCUGCUCUCAUAAUUU
rnacentral:SRP_RNA from 1 species